UAAUGUAGAACUCCUGUUUAUUGACACAUUAAGAAAGUGAAUGACAAGCUGCAGAGUAGAAAAGAUGUUUGCAAUAAAUAUUUCUGAAAAAAGACAUAUCUAGGAAUAGACAAAGCACAGCUCUAAAUUAAUAAGAAAAAGGCACAGUGUAAAUCAACUAUACUCUAAUAAAAAAUAAAAUGAAGUGAAAAAAAUAAGAAAAAGGGGAUUCCCUGCUAAAAUAAUCUGUGGUUAGAGGAAUUAUCUUUCCCAAUUCAGUUAGCAUUUUUAUUACCAAUAUUUUGAAUUCAUUGUCUGGAAGACUUGUUAUCUGUUUAUUUUGGGGGGGUUCUCUUGCUCUUUCAAUUGGGAGUAGUUCUCUACCUUUUUGUUUUAUUUAACUUUCUCUGUCUCUAUAAAUUUAGGUGGAAUAGUUACCUACUUUGGUCCUGAAGGGGUGUUCUUAUGUGAAAGCAUCAUUAUGUAGAUUUUGUGUGCCCAGUGCUUCUGGUGGGAGGGUUGAGUUUGAUGUCAAUGCCAGUCACAUCUUCCCUCAGGGUGUACUCGCUACUCUCACCUUAGUGGGGGUUGUGGCUGGUGAAGGAAGAGCCAGAGCUCGUACAAGGUAUUAAAUAGGAUUUCCUCUCUGCUCAGUGGCCACCUCCACCCUCUCAGGGAUGGUGUCUGCUCCCAAGGUGCUGGAGCAGAAGAAUGAGUAUCUGGCUUAAGCUAGUUCUUUUCAUUUACGUGUGUGUUUUUCCUUCUCCCUGCAUUGGGGCCUUUGCCCCCAAAGGAGGGUAAUGAUGGAGCAAGUGGGACUCAUAUACUUACAGAGGUCCCAUGCACUGCCUUUGUAGGCAUCUGCAGUGCAGAUCAAAGAGGACACAACCCACAUUCACAUCUUCUUCCCUGUUGUGGUCACUACAGAUCUAUUGCUAGGUUGUGGCAUCGAGUGGGCAGGGCCAGAACAUGUUCUCAUCUGAGAUUAGGAUGGUAGACUGGUGGUCAUGGGAUUUUAAGCAGCCACACUGCCAUUAGAAAUCUGGGCUUCUUCUGGGGUGCACAGUGGUCACUGCUGCCCCCUCUGGAACACCAGAACACACUCGAGCCCCUGGGCUACCUCUGUGUCCCUAAAUCAAAUCUUUGCCCUAGACCCAGUGCCAAGCUAUGGUGUGGAGUAGGUAGGCAGGACUGUUUCCUUGGCUCAGAGUGGGGAACACAGUGAGGCAGUAGCCACUAGGGCAGACUUCCCUCUACCUGUCUGGUGGCAAGCCAGCACCUGCGCACUCCUCAUGGGAGUCUAGGCUUCUCCAGAUAUUCUCUCCACCUUAGUAGUUUUCCAAGCAGCCAAGGGAACUUGUCUCCUAUGCACAGGAACCCUGGAUUGUGAUUCCUAGUCUGUGGCUCAACCCACUCACUCCCCAGGUCGAGGGUCCAGCUUGUGUGAUCACUCUUUUCCUCAGCCCUGCCACAAGAGGCAUUGGUCCUGACCCAGUGCCUUUCUUCCCCUCCUACUCAAUUGUGUAUAUCUUACUUACAGCCUUAGUUCAAUUGGAGUUCUUCUGCUAGUUUCCAGGUAAUUUUCCAUAAGAAUUGUUCCAUAUAUAUUGAUGUAUUUUUUUAUGUUUGUGGAGGGAGGUGAGCUCCAUGUUUACUCUACCAUUUGAUCCUCCUUUGAUCAGUAAUCUUUGAUGUUACCAUUGCAAAAAGAUUAUGACUCACUGAAGGUUCAGAUAAUUAUUAGCACUUAUUACUAACAAAAUGUUUUUAAAUUGAUAUAUAUACUUUUUUUUAGACAUGAUAUUAAACACUUAUAGUCCACAGUAUAGGAUAAACAUGAUUUUUAUAUGCACUGGGAAACAAAUUUGUGUGACUCAUUAUGCCUUUCAUGUUAAAUGAUUCUGCCUCUGACUUGGGUGUUUAUGUAUGAAUCACCCCUUCCCUCCUCUCUGCCACUGUUUUCAAAAAAUAUAUUAAUAUGAUUGAAUCUUUAGUGCAUUACUUUUUUCCUUUUAUAUUUUACUAUUUACUAUUUAUUUUUUUACCUUAUAUUGGUGCGGUUAUAUAUUCAAAAUUUAGUAAAUUCCUUGUCUAUUUCUUUUCUGGAUAUUAUCAUUAUUAUUAGUUGUUUCAUUAUAGAUUGUCAAAAAUAAUUUUAUUGUACAGAAGUGUACUAUAAAAAUAUCCUCUCUCUGUCAAAAUUGCUAAAUAUGCCUCAUUUUCAUCCAACUCUAAACAUAUUUUUUGUCAAUCAGAAGAAAUACUCUUAACUUGGUCUCUUUCUUCUCUGUGUUUGGCUUUAGAGGCUGUGUUCUGAGUCUAAAGUAUUCAUUUACCAGUAUUUAAAGGCAUUCUUGGAGAUGUUUUUGCUAUUUCAAAAGGUUUCUCAUGCAUAGACUUUAAAAAUUGUUAUGCACAGUAUUUGGCUCUUUAUUCCAUCUGGCAGUUUAUUUAUCUAAGUGAUGAGAUGGAAGAAUCAAGUAAAUAUAUGCUUCUCACUAUGAUUCUCAGUUUUCCAGGUGUUGAAGGAGUUGGAAGGCUCUUACUUGACAAGUUAAAGAAAUUGAAGCUUUUAUUUCAGGAGGAAGGAUAUCUUGAAAGAUUGUAAUCCAGAGGGACUGGACUAAACUUGCAGAGCCCAACCUAUCAUUGCUACUCUCUGCAUUUAUUUUGUGUAUAACUAUCCAGUUACAAAGGGUUAUUAUAAAGGGAGAACAAUAAUUUGGGCAUAUUUAAGGCCUUGUGUGUGGAAACAAUCUUUACUCUUUUAAACUACAGAUUUUACUUUCUGCAAGGUUUCAGAUAGCAAACAAGUUAGGACCAUUCAGAAUUUCUGAAGCACAGAAAUUGACAUGAAGGAAUGUUUUGAGCCUCAUGAAGGUUCUGAAAUCUAUACACCUAUACAGAACAAAGGGUGUGGCUAAGCACUGUGCCAAGAGACUUGCCCAAACUUUAACUUGACUUCCACCUAAACUAGGUUUACCUUCGCUCUAAAGAUGACCCCAGCCCUCAUGCUGAAUCUUUGCCCAAGAAAAUGUGAUCCUGCC
rnacentral:lncRNA from 1 species